CUCUUCCCACCGGCCAUAUUCGCGUCUCUUCCAACAUCAGUCGUACUGUUUCCACCGUCGACGAUCAGAGGCUCUGUCACCGGUCAUCUUUUGCAGAAUUGUUAUUAUUUGAAACAAAAGUGCCAACAACUAGAAGAGAAGCUUUUAUGCUCUCUCUUUGUUUCAAUGUAAGGAGAAACUUUAUCUUAAGCCUGAUACUGCCGUC
rnacentral:lncRNA from 1 species